AUUCCCCUAGUAACUGCGAGUGAAGCGGGAAAAGCUCAAAUUUAAAAUCUGGCAGUCUUUGGCUGUCCGAGUUGUAGUCUGGAGAAGCGUUUUCCGCGCUGGACCGUGUACAAGUCUCCUGGAACGGAGCGUCAUAGAGGGUGAGAAUCCCGUCUUUGACACGGACUACCAGUGCUUUGUGAUGCGCUCUCAAAGAGUCGAGUUGUUUGGGAAUGCAGCUCAAAAUGGGUGGUAAACUCCAUCUAAAGCUAAAUAUUGGCGAGAGACCGAUAGCGAACAAGUACCGUGAGGGAAAGAUGAAAAGCACUUUGGAAAGAGAGUUAAACAGUACGUGAAAUUGCUGAAAGGGAAACGCUUGAAGUCAGUCGCGUUUGCUAGAACUCAGCCUGGCUUUUGCUUGGUGCAUUUUCUAGUAGACGGGCCAGCAUCACUUUUGUUUGCGGGAUAAAGGUCAGAGGAAUGUGGCACCUUCGGGUGUGUUAUAGCCUCUGGUUGUAUACCGUGGAUGGGAGUGAGGAACUCAGCACGCCUUAUGGGCGGGGCUUCGGCCACCUU
rnacentral:rRNA from 1 species